AGAGUUUGAUCAUGGCUCAGAGUGAACGCUGGCGGCAGGCCUAACACAUGCAAGUCGAACGGUAGCACAGAGGAGCUUGCUCCUUGGGUGACGAGUGGCGGACGGGUGAGGAAUAUAUCGGAAUCUACCCUUUCGUGGGGGAUAACGUAGGGAAACUUACGCUAAUACCGCAUACGAACUGAGGUUGAAAGCGGCGGACCGCAAGGCGUCGCGCGGAUGGAUGAGCCGAUAUCCGAUUAGCUAGUUGGCGGGUCAAGGCCCACCAAGGCGACGACGGGUAACCGGUCUGAAAGGACGACCGGUCACAAUGGCACUGAGACACGGGCCAUACUCCUACGGGAGGCAGCAGUGGGGAAUUUUGCGCAAUGGGGGAAACCCUGACGCAGCAAUGCCGCGUGGAGGACGAAGGUCUUCGGAUUGUAAACUCCUCUUGUCGGUGACAAAUCGUUGCGUGAAGAACGCAAACUGAUGGUAACCGAUGAAUAAGCCACGGCUAACUUCGUGCCAGCAGCCGCGGUAAGACGAAGGUGGCGAGCGUUACUCGGAUUUACUAGGCGUAAAGCGUGGGCAGGCGGCUCAACAAGUCUUUUGUGAAAGCCCCGGGCUUAACCCGGGGAGGUCAAAGGAUACUGUUGGGCUUGGAUGUGGGAGAGGUCACUGGAAUUCCUGGUGUAGCGGUGAAAUGCGUAGAUAUCAGGAGGAACACCAAUGGCGAAAGC
rnacentral:rRNA from 1 species